rnacentral:rRNA from 1 species
AUACCCCGUAAUAUUUAGAAUUGGCAUCAAUUUUAAAUUAAAGCUCCGGCGGUUUGAGAUGGGCAUGCGUGACAUUAGCUAGUUGGUAAGGUAACGGCUUACCAAGGCUACGAUGUCUAGGGGUUCUGAGAGGAUGAUCCCCCACACUGGUACUGAGACACGGACCAGACUCCUACGGGAGGCAGCAGUGAGGAAUAUUGGUCAAUGGGCGCAAGCCUGAACCAGCCAUCCCGCGUGUAGGAAGACUGCCCUAUGGGUUGCAAACUACUUUUAUAAAGGAAGAAACCCUUCUACGUGUAGAAGGCUGACUGUACUUAAGAAUAAGCACCGCUAACU